GAUGAACGCUGGCGGCGUGCCUAAUACAUGCAAGUCGAGCGAACAGACGAGGAGCUUGCUCCUCUGACGUUAGCGGCGGACGGGUGAGUAACACGUGGAUAACCUACCUAUAAGACUGGGAUAACUUCGGGAAACCGGAGAUAAUACCGGAUAAUAUAUUGAACCGCAUGGUUCAAUAGUGAAAGACGGUUUUGCUGUCACUUAUAGAUGGAUCCGCGCCGCAUUAGCUAGUUGGUAAGGUAACGGCUUACCAAGGCGACGAUGCGUAGCCGACCUGAGAGGGUGAUCAGCCACACUGGAACUGAGACACGGUCCAGACUCCUACGGGAGGCAGCAGUAGGGAAUCUUCCGCAAUGGGCGAAAGCCUGACGGAGCAACGCCGCGUGAGUGAUGAAGGUCUUCGGAUCGUAAAACUCUGUUAGUAGGGAAGAACAAAUGUGUAAGUAACUAUGCACGUCUUGACGGUACCUAAUCAGAAAGCCACGGCUAACUACGUG
rnacentral:rRNA from 1 species